rnacentral:lncRNA from 1 species
GAGGGGAGGCCCGGUGGCCCCUUCACUAAUUGAGGGAGGGUCUGGGGCUAAUUUUGGCUUUGCCUCCUCUAGUCAGCACCACCCUGGAACACAGACCGGGCUUUGCUUCGAGAACCUUGGGAGGAAAACCCAGUCUCCUCGGCGGGAAGGGUGGGGCGUCCCCAGGGCCUAGAGUUUGAGAUUAAACAGGAUCGGGCGGAGGGAGGCCCCUCCCACCAGCUCCGCCUCCUCGGGGUGCCCAGCGGUCUUUUCCACCCCGUCGCCUUCCCCCUUCCUGCUCUACACGAACCCCAGUAGCAGACACCCGUUUCCACCCCGGCAGGAAGG